rnacentral:snoRNA from 1 species
ACCCUCCAGCUUCCUUUCCCAUCAGAUCUGAACACUGGUCUUGGUGGUUGUAAAGGUGGAAAAGAAAUGCUUAAGCUGGCCUCACAGUCUUAUAGUCUGGUAUAUAGCAUGUGGGUUAGUUUCAAACAAGG